rnacentral:rRNA from 1 species
AUUGAACGCUGGCGGCAGGCCUAACACAUGCAAGUCGAGCGAGCGGCGGACGGGUGAGUAAUGUCUGGGAAACUGCCUGAUGGAGGGGGAUAACUACUGGAAACGGUAGCUAAUACCGCAUACCAUCAGAUAUGCCCAGAGGGGAUUGGCUAGUAGUUGGGGUAACGGCUCACCUAGGCGACGAUCCCUAGCUGGUCUGAGAGGAUUACCAGCCACACUGGAAUUGAGACACGGUCCAGACUCCGACGGGAGGCAGCAGUGGGGAAUAUUCGACAAUGGGCGAAAGUCUGAUGCAGCAAUGCCGCGUGUGUGAAGAAGGCUUUCGGGUUGUAAAGCUCUUUUGGCGGGGAGGCGUUACCCGCAGAAGAAGCAACGGCUAACUCCGUGCCAGCAGCCGCGGUAAUAC